GGUGCUGUUUUAAGUAUGCCAAAAGAAACCAAGAAGUAUUUUAAAGUCUUUCCUUCUGAUGGCAAAACAGUAACACUUACCAAAGGGUACUCCACGACACACAAAAAAUAAAAGCUUCAGAUGAAACUUAAUUAUGGUCUGUCCCAUUAUUGCUCAUUAAUUCUGAACUGAAGUCAAAGAUAUCAGCACAAAUCACUGACUUUUAAUCCACAUACAUUACAGAAGUGACUGCCUACUGCCUUUUAUAGAUUUUAUGAAGACCAUUUUCAAGGGCAUCUCUUCAUCUUCUAGUAGGAAUGGAUUUGACAAUCCUGUGAUAAUUUUAAAGACUGCCAUAUAAUCUGUUUAAGAGAGGCUAAAAAUAGAAAGGCCAGAUCAUGUAAUAAAGUUUUAGACAGAAUUCCCCACAAUUUCAAUAAGAAGUUAUGCUUAAAUUUUGAUCUCAUUAACUUCAUUUAAAUGCAGCGUUUCCCACAGAUGUCACCAUUAUCCAAAAUUUGUAGGUUUUACUUCUAGGUUUCUGAAGGAAAACAGGCUCACGUAGGGAACACAGAGCUAUAGCACUGGAAGGAAUAUUGAGGGAGCCAAUUCAGCUCACAUGACCAGCAAGACAAAGCCAACGGCACUGAGAGGAAGGCCAGACUUGCGGUUAUGACUGAUCUCAGUUCAGCUCAGUUCUUGGCUCUGCCACAGACUUCCUGUAUAAUUUCAAGCAAGGCGUAGUAUUUCUUUGCCUCUCUUCCCAUGUAUAAAAUAGAAAUAUUAUACUUCCUUUCUUCCAUCCUUCGACUAUCACAUAAAAUCUUCAGUGCAGGCUGCCUCUGUGUUUGCGUGCACCAGGCUCAAAUCCCGGGUGGAGCUUUAUCACAUUAAAAUAAGCAGAAGCUGGAGCCUGCACAUACCAAGGAGCUUUCCCAUUGCCCUACUCUAUUCAAAACAUCAGAUCUUGCAUUGUGUAGGAACGAAGCGUCUGCCCAAGAAACUGCCUCAUUUUGCCAAGUACAGGAGCACUAAAAGCAGUUUUUCCUUUGCAAGGAAAACAAAAAGUGAACGACUGUUGGUUUGUGAGAGGAGGAACAGAAGUUCGGAAAGUUUAAGUGUUUUGCCCAAAAGAGAGGGCACAGAUUUGGAAACAAAAGUCAGUUCUCCUGCAGCCUUGGCAACCACUCUGGGUGGUAGGUCCCAGUGCCAAUAAAAUUAUGACCAAAUACAACAUUUACAGUUUUAAAGGGCUUGCAGGUAGAAAAGUAUUUCAAGCAAGAAGAGGGUUCCAAAUAUAACAUAGAUCUUUCUGGAUAAUAAAGUGGUUAGAUUAUGUUUAAUUUAACACUUCUUUGUUAGCCCAAGCCCUGCCACACAAAAUAACAUACACUGAUUAUUGGCAAUUGCAUGUGCUUCAACUGCAUAUGUAUCAAUCCACUGUGAUCACCCUGUGAUCUCUUAUUUUCUUCUUUUUAUUGACUUCAGAGCUGAAUCUAAAGCAUCUUCUUGAUAAAACAUUCUUAUGCUACAGCAUCAACAAAGUUUCUGCUUCAUAAAACUGUAUCCCACCUUAGCUUGAGGCUUUUUUUUUUUCAACCUGGUAAUGGUAAACAGUGUUUAAAUAUUUCAGAACAGAGAAUAUAUAUGCAAUCUCUUUAAACCCCGGGGCUGUUGCUAUUUAUGUAUUACGGUACUAAGCCAGGCAAAAUUAGAAGGCAAUAUUUAAUCUCUAAUUGGUGAGUUCAAAAGGCUCCCACCUAUGAGACUCUCUAAUUAAAUAAGGUGACUUCUAGCUCACUCGGUUUUGUGUAAGGAUUCUCCCUCCCUCAAAGAGCCAACAAUCAUUCAUGCAAAGUACGGCAGCAUAUCCCACAGAGGGCCUAACAAAAUGAUCAGAUGUUCAAACCCUGAGUUCCAGAAGCGAAGAACAAAUGCAGCCCAGAGCGCUGUCUCACUGGUUGCCCUGCUUUUACCUUCCAGAUGGACUAACUAAUUGCAUGAAGAGCUUCGUAGCUUAUUUAAAGUAUUCCUCCUAUGCUGCUUUCUUUUGUAGGUGAGAUCCUUAGGAGUGCCACUUAGAACUUAAAACCACAUGAACUAGAAGUUGCUGGAAUUCGUAGACCUUGGACAUCUGCCUUUUAGGCAAUGGGCAUUUCCAUCUGAAGGAGUUAGAGGUUGUUAUUACCAAACCAUUCCAAAGCUCCAAACCAGGUUUAUAAAUUCUGAGAAACACAACACCUGCCACUCCAUCUCACGGAGCUUUUUGAAAUCUACAUUAGGAAGAAAUGCCUAACAAACCCCCUUAGUUGAAGCCUCUACAUUCAUCAUCUGCUCAGUAGACAAAUCUCCUGUUUGUAAGGUAAGAACAAUAUGGGAAAACUGGAGGUAAACCAGACACACACAGCAAACAUUACCUGUUUUCUGAUGCUGCAGCAACAUUUUCCUUGUCUCUGUGAAAGGAGGGGAUACAGUAUGAAUAAAGUAAAUGCAAUUGCCAGUGGCAGGGAAAAAACCCAACCAAACAACAAGCCCAAAACAGGGGGAAAAAAAAAUGGUGUGAAGAGAAAUGUUUGGUUGCAAAAAGCAUCCUAGAGUGGUUGCUCAGAAGUAUAGUUAUGAGAAAUCUCUUCAGCUCCCCAAGUGAAACCCAAAUAUGCAAGUUGACUGUACGCUUCUCAGUUGCAAACAAUUUUGUUUCAAUAUUAAAGUAAAACAAAGGACAACUAACAGUUACAAACUGGACAACGUAUGUACAUAUAUAAUGUCAGCCAUAGUCCCUCAUAAAAGAAAAUUUCAAGAAUAUUCCAGUUGGAACACGCCAACUCCAAGUGGUAAAAAUAAUCAGACUUGGGCAGUCCUCAAGGAUCCAAUAUUUUGAAGUGAUAAGCAGUUAAAUGGUUAGCAAAGACUCAUACAAGAUGGAUUGUAUAUAUGUCUGGCAUCCCUCAAAAAUUCUCUGUCCUACCCAAGUAAGUACUAGUUUUCUCAAUCUAAAUCGGAUUAGAAACAAAUGAAAUCAUUCCUUCACUGAGGUGAGGAGUAAGGCAGCCUCAGUUUCAGUGAUACAGAAUUAGGCUGUUACUCUGUAAAAACACAUGCACACUUACAAAAAUUACUGAUCAUUUUAAGUGCAAGCAACUGUAUAUCUGUAAGAAGCUAAGACAUAGGUAUUUCACAAAGAAUAGAAUUCUUUGGCCUUAGAUUCCUAAGUUUGAAAUCCAUUUAAGUUAAAUGAUCAAGAUACUCUCAAUGUUUAGCAAGUAAGUGGGUGUUUGUGUCCUUUCGUAAUUGUGCUUGAAUUGCAACACAUUUCAAGUCAAAAUAUGCCAAAUGAGAACAUUUCACUUAAUUGGGAUCUAAAAUUACAAAACACAAAGCAAAUGUCCUAAUUUAGCCAAUUGAACCUUCUUUUUUGAAAAGUCCUUUGCAAAAAAGGAAUAUAUAUGUAUUUAUGUGGAUUUACUGGGCUCCAGUCAUUACCUUGGACUAUGUCUGAAAGGCUAUUCUUAAUAUUUUCCAUAUUAUUAGUAGUAUUUAAUAUAUUUAUCUAUAUUUAUGUACAUAUGUACAGUCACAUACUCUCUCCUUAGUUUAGCUCCAAGAAAGUUAUAAAAACCAGUCCAGUUUACAUCAGCAAAGGUUUGGGCAUAGGUGUAACUCUACCAAUUUUCAAAACCUCUAGCUAAAAUGUAACCUGUAAAAUACAUGAAUUGAAGCCAGAUUUUCAAACACAAAAGAAGAUCUGGAGUGACCCUCAGAUGUAGCUGCAUGACUAAGAACGUCAGUAUGGUCAGAAUGGAACAACCCAUCUCAAAAGUAAAUACCCCAAUAAGAUCAAUUGAUUCACCACUCUGAAGCAAUAAGUAACCAAACACUAUGGUAACCAAGCCGUGAGUUCACUGGAACUUCAGGUACAGGAAAGCCAGGAUGAAACAAGGUAGAGGAGGCUGGAUUAGGAACUGUGUGUGUGUGGGAGGGAAGCAUUAGUACACCAAGAGCCAUAUCCAUGCAAGGAUGUUAAAAAACACAGUCACGGCCUGGAAAGAAUAAAGCAUUGUUUAUUUCCAGUGUCACCAAAUAUUGUAUGAGAAAUUACAGCCAAGACCAAAAGGCAGGCAGUUGGGCUCAGGCAGAAGCAGCGUUAGGCCUCUGUUGUUACUAUUAAUCUGAUCCAAACUUUUCCGCUCCACUAGCUGUGGCUACACAGAAGAAUGCAGAAAAAUGGCAUUUGACUUGGAGUUCAGGAUUUCACACAAGUUUUUUCCAUGAGCGUACAAGUAUAGGAAAACGUUGAGUGACGACUGCAGGGGAGUUGUGAAGGUUAAAACGAGAGAAGUAUAGUAAACAUACUUCCACAGAAUAAAGCAAAGGAAAACAGAGAGAGUAAAGGGAACGAUGAACUCAAAGGCACACAGGACUUCUUUGUGGGUUUGCUCCCAGGUACUAUUUCUCUUCCCAGUCAAUGGGAGUUCUCAUUUCGCUAACAGAGAAAGGCUCAAGAUCAGAUGUGUGUCUUAUUGGCAAUACCUGCAUUUUGAGGAACAGGCUACUGGAUUUCCAACUUUUACAAUCAAACACUUUCUGCUAACUAAAUGCAGAAUUAUUUUUACUUUUGAGUCAAAUACAUCCUUGAGGAAGGCUCAGUGAAGUCAAUACCUUCACACCAUGAAAGAAUUUGGAUCAGAACGUUAUGUUUGUAUCCUGUGACUACACAGGCUGCUCAAAUAGCUGAAAACUUCUAUCCAUUACUGUCAGUUAUCUGGCCAAGAGUUUGUUGGUUUGUUUUGGGGUUUUUUUGGCUUGCAGCCCUUUUAGUCCCCAGCUGAAACAGCUUUUGAUAGAAGGGCCUUAGUUGAUGACUGUUCUGAGAGAACACUGCGACUCCCACAGUUUUUAUUAAAUAUUGGACAUAUAUCUCAAACAAGAUUUAUUUAUGCAGUAUACUGUCUUCCCAAUUACACAAUACAUCAUACAAUGGAAAUUAUGAGAUGUUUCCUUUUCAUAAAAAUAUGCUACAUAAUAUGGUCCUAUGAAUGAAGUGUCAGAAACAGUCUUUCCCUCCGACACACUAGCAGGAAUUGUAAGAAUUUGAGUAACAAAACAUAACAUUGUUUUCCAAGCCAAGCUUGGUGUUCUACUGGAUCCUAAAAAGAGCCUGAAGAAACUUGAGAGUUUCCAAUAAAUGAGUCUGUUGAAUCUGAACUGUAUGUACUGGAGACUGUAAUACUUUCCUAUUCUAUUUAUUUUUGGAAACCAAAUGUAAAGGAUUCCUGAACUAACUUGUACAGGUAACAGGGGACCUGAGAUGUGGAGCUUGUGCACCUUCCACCUACCUCCUUCUAAGAGAAUAACAGAUCUAGACUCACUCUCUCUCGAAUAGCUCCUCUCUGUUCCAUUAAAAUGUUGAGAAACAGAAGAAUUUAACCUGUAAGGAACAUAAGGAACUUUUGGCAUCAUGAGAGACCUUAUGGUCCUUCAAUUCUUCUCUGUCCUUCAGUACCGAAGGAAUAAGAGAAUACUAUAAUUGAUAUUUUCCUCCAUAUUCUCAUGGACCAAGACUAUUUUUCUCAUUUUACAAAUGAGGAACUAAAACUUAAUAGAAUUGCUCAUGGUCAAAACCAAAAACCACAGCAUGGCAAAGACUGGAAAUAAGCUCUCCUGAAUCCCAACUGAAUACUUAAAAUAUCAGCUCACCCUCUUAAAUAAGCGAUUAUAGAUUUUUAAAUAAAUAUUAGUCUUCAGUUUAUCAGUAUUUUCCCCGUAUUGAUCAUCCAGUAGUCUUCCAAAGAACCUGGUAGAUAUGUACUGUCCUUUUGGCAAAGAGGAAAAAGCUGGUAUUAAGACUUGCAGAUUGAUAGGAUCUGUAUCUAUUUAAAUUUAAAAUUCUGAUUUUUCUAGUAGUAUAUUGCAAAUUUGCAGGACUUGUCCUCAUUAGACUUAUAAUAGAUUCCACUCUAACAUGCACUUACAUUUACAUACACAUAUUUGUGUACAAAUAAAAUUUUCUUAUAAGAAGUAGAGGCCACAAAAUAAUAAUUAAAAAUCUUAUAGGGCGUCUGGGAGUAAAGUUGUGUGAAAACUGUUUCAUCAUUUCCUUCCAAACAUUUUUGUCUCAAAGGCAUGAGAUAUUGACACUGUUGGAAACUGGACACUGCGCUGGAUCAACUGCUGUUCUGAUCCAAUGAAGCUAUUUCUACCUUUCUGUGUUUGCAGCUGAGAAUUUCCAUGACCGGAUGACUAUAACACUAUUGAGAUUGUCUCUUGUUUUGUUUUUUUUUUCUCUCCAAGCUAUAUUUUUGUUAUUUUAACAAAGACACCAUAAGACACACAAAGAAAUCAUAGGAAAUUAACUGGAGAGGACAGAAGACAACUAUCAUGCUGGUUUAGUUAAAACUUUAGCUUGGGAUCAGAAACAAGGGGUAGAAGAGCUAAUCUCUCUUUUUCAGCCACUGUAGUUAAGAAUGUGAGCAGCCCACGCCAAAAUGAUUGCAAUGUAUGCCACUAGUACAUCUGAUUUCCAAAACAGAGGAAUACUUUUCUCCCAGAAGGUAUCCUGGUUUGUGCAGACAGUGUCACAGAGUAGGAAAAGCAUUAUCAUAUAUUCAGUGAAAGAAAAAACAACCAGCAACUCAUUCUCAAGAAGUAGUAUGGAACACAAAGCAGCUCACUAAAAUCAAAGCCAAUUAUCUCCUAGGGAUGCAUUUUAGUGGCAUUGAUUGGUAUGUUGUUAUAUUUAACAGUCAAAUAAUAAAUGCAGCUGGAAAUACAGCAGCAAUGGUGUUGGUGAAAGUUGUAACUCUUUUCCAAGAUUUACAUAGUGAUAUUUAGCAUGCAACUAUGUGUACUCCAAUGUAUGUGGUAAACACACCACUUGAAUAAGAACAAAGACUGCAAAAUUUUGAGUAUGUGGAGUAAUUUGAGCUGGGAUCUAUUUCAGAUAAUUAUUCCCUAUCUUGGCCUUAAGCGUGCAAUUGGAUUUAUCCAAAUGGUUUCCUCCAGCUUUUUAUAGCCCCACUGGUCAAGUGCAGGUAUCUGCCACCAGGCACCUGAACACAGGAUGAGGACUUUCUUUGUAUUUGUGACCAUUACAGACAAAACCAAUGCACAACGAGUUUAGGUACUGUACACCAGCAAAUCAUUCCCCUUUCACUGAAGUGUUCUUUCUCAUCAUGACUUCACUUUUCUCCAGGGAAGCUGAGAGAACAAGAACCCAUAGAUCUCAAUGUCAGCUGGUAGGUUUUUUUAGAGCUACCUUUUAGUUUGCACAUACUGAUAAGAAAAUUCAUACUUUCUCUACAAGGUAUUAGCCUAAGUUUGAAGCUGCAUCUGAAAUAUACUAAUGUGUCUUUUCUCCUCAGUUCCUGAAGCAAAUAAGUAAGCAGUAUGAAUUAGAGCAGUUACCGUUCUUUCAGAAUCUGGAUUACAUUUUAUUUCAUAAAUUUGUUUAAUGAUUUUCUUACCUUCCCUCUCUCUCAUUUGUAAUCAUAUAACAUUCUGGGUCAACUACAACAAAUGCUUACAUGGAAAUGAACUAUUAGGAAGUUAUUAGCAUUUGAGGUAAUUUAGCUGACAUUAAUGCAAUUUAGAAACAGAAUAAAAGAAAGCAGCGCCAGUGCUAUGCUACCAGCCAGUUCUCCAGCUCACCCUAAACAAAGCUCUAUGAGCCAGCGUGAUGAUUCCCAGAGCACAGCUGAGUACCUCUGGUUACACGUGCUUGUUGGCAAGCCUGCUGCAUGCAAGAAGUGUGUUUUCUGCAUUGGACUGAAGGCAAUGCAACGGAGCACUCCGACAGAAAGGCAGCAAUGUGCACUGGUAUCUUGGUUUGCCAUCUACCCCAGCAGAAGGAUGUGUAUGAAAAUCUUACAGGCUGCACAGUAGGAACGGAAGUGAUGUUACUUUCUGUCCAUGCAGAAGUUCAGUGCUGGACAGGAACAUGCAGAAGACUCAGAUGGUAAAGAUGAGAUGGUAAAUAUAGGUCAGUAUGCACACAUCCACACAAAGUUGAAUCCUGAGCUUUAACAAGUUUAAUAGCUUAAACAUUACCGUCUCUAUGAACUAUUUGGAGAAAAGCUUCAUGGUAUUUGCUAAUUUCAUUUGGGGGCCUCAUUCUUUCUAUCUUAAGUGAAUAUAUUCAAGUGGACACACCAUACCUUACUGUCACCAUCUUUGAUAAAUUAGCUCUACAGAGAACUGGCUUGAAAACAAGGAAUUUAUGAUCUCUAAAUUCAUUUUUCCCACAGAACUUCCAGGAGUAUUUUGGGGAAGGAAGACACUAUAUUUGAUCAAUUUUUCCUUCUGGUUUCACUCAGAAUUCCAUAGAAACAAUUGAAUUAAUUCACUGCUCCUAUGUUUUUGUCACUCUUUAGGUGCUAAAAGGGAAGUGGGGAUCAGAAUAUAUUAAACCGAUGUGCCUACUAUUCUUUAUUGCCAUUAUGUUACUUAAAUGAGAAACCUACCUGAUUUAUUUUAUGGGCUGUUGUGGAAAAAUAAAGUUUAUCUUUUAAAAGAAUUUUGGUAAUCUGAUUAGUGUAUAGAUUGGAAGUUUUUGGCAAUUGGGCAGGCCAGCAAUGCAAACAAUUGGAAAUUCUGCCAAAUAAAAGAAGGGGAUCAAGGUGCCCUGGCUUGUCCUAGUGGAGUCAGAUGGAUUUGAUAAGCAGUAGUGGAACAAAGGAUGUUAUUGUGCUUGAGAGCAAAUUUUAGUCAAUUCGUUUUAUGUAUGUUGUAGAAAGAUGUUGAUUAAAGACUGAUUAAAGUCAUUAUCUAGCACUACCAUGUACCAUAACCAAAUUCUAGCUGUUUAACUCUGCAAACUAAAGUUUGUGCAAGUGUUCACGUAUUUUCUGAUGUAUGUAAUGGUGAUUCCAGUCACUGAAACUCCUGGUAGACACUGCUAAAGAAGCCACAAAAUCAACUUAGUCCCUGUAGGAACCUGAGUGCACAAGUGGAAAACUGGUGUCACCUAUUCUGCCCCUGAAAAAGGCUCCAGGCAGCAUUGUGAUACACAAGAGUUAGACUUUUCAAAAGUGAAAAAGUGGUUCCUAAAAUAUUUACUCCUUUCUACUGAAGGUAGACUCCACAGUUGUGCAUAAUAAGAGGAAAACUGCAAUGCAAAGAAAGCGACCUCCGUAUUUAUUACGGAGCAAAAACUUACUCUCCUUCCCAUGCAGGCAGGCAUGAAAGGAGGCAAAGGAAGGAGCCAGAGAACCUUUCUGCUUUUGUAAUUUCUUCAUGCAUGAAAGGAAGAGAGGUCGAGUUCUCAUGCCUGCUUUUCUAAAGUCACGCUCUAGCCACAUCCCAUCAGCACACACUGCAUGCAGUCAGUAUUGCUGCUGCAAACUAAGCACCGUAGGAGGUGAGGAGGAGACCAGCUGAGUAGAAGACAAGACAGCAGUACUCAGGAAACAGGUUAGUUUAGAUCAAACGGUCUUACAUCACAGCAGAAAAUGAGCAUUUCCCUGUGUCAUAACCAGACAAGCAGAUUUACCUGGAAGGCCUUUUGGUUUUGAUUUCUUAAUGGCAUCAGCUUUGCUGCAUCUUCAUUAAAUGCUUAUAACACUAUGCUUUACUGGCAAUAUUGGGAAGGGCAGGGGGUUAAUAUCACUACCCACACCCUGCAUUUUACUUUAUUAUUGGCACAGUGGCUAUUUAGAGACAGUAUUGUCACCAACCAUUGUUCUUGGCUCACCAGAACAGUCACGGUUCAAAAUAUAUUCAAUGUGGGACAGAUAUACCUGUCUAUCAUCAGUGCUAUUUUAAAGGAUUACAUGAUUCACUGAGUCUUCAAUCAGGAACCUAUCUGAAGCCUCAACUGCCAUUAACUGAGACUACUCUUCCUAGACUAACCACCAGAUUGCUGCAAAUGGUCAAGAAACACUGGAAGGUGGGGGUGGUCAAUCAGAAGAAACGUGCAGUGAGAUAAGCCUGGACACAUUAAAAAUAGGCCAUAAGCAGGCCAGGCUUGACCUUUGCUAAACAAAGGUAGGGGUUUCUUAAAGCUGUUAAUGAUUUCCUAUCAGGCCUAAGGCAGUUGCAGUCUCUAGGAAUGAGAUGCAGUAGAAUGACAAACCCAGCUCAACUUCUCCACCUUGCAGGGAAAGCCUGCCUCCUGCUCAGGAGGUUACACGGAAAAGAUCUGUAACAUUAACUUUCUGGGCUUCAAGAUUGCCAUGACGACAUAAAGGCAGAUAUUCGAGGACUCAGUUAAGGAAUUACUACUCUAAAUAUAAACAAGGAACUGGAUAGGAAAAAAAUUACUAACAUUUUAAUUAACAAAGCCCACCACUUGAGAAAUUUUUUUGGGGAGGGACUAGACUGUAUAGUAGAAAUAAUGCUGUAGUAAAGAAUCUUGCUUCAGGGAUUAAUGACAGCACUUCCAGAAAGGUCUUUAUCAUUGCAAAAGUUUCCAAGUUUACCAACUAUUAAAGAUUUUUUUCUAUUUUUUUCCUGUAAUUAUGUUAAUAUUUGAUAUUCUACAAGUUGGAGAGUGUUUAGAUUCUAUUUUGUAUCCUCCAGGAAAAAAGGAUUACAUCUGUUUCCCUGAUUACAUGGUCUAUAUAUGCACUGAAUUUUUAUCAUCAAAUCCACUGCAGCAGAGCUAAGGGAAGGGGUUCCUUAAUUCCAUCUGCAUUAGUUUCAUAACUGAUCAAACGAUGUUUUUCUGAAUAUUAAAAAAAUACCUUUAAAAAAUAACAUUAAGUGUAAAUACUGAGAUAUAAUCUAGACAUUUUCUAUUAUAAUACAUGCACUACAACUAUUUGAAACAAAUAGCAUCUGUAUUAUGUUUGUUAAACACUAAGGAUACACAAUUCCUAUUUAAGUAAAAACACUGUAUUAUUACUUAUUCAGAAAACCAUUUGAUAUGGUCAAACAUGAGAACUGGAAGAUGAUUUUACUUAAGUACAUUUGACGUUUAUGGAAAAAAGAGUUAAUUGCUUACUGAUAUUUUAAAUUCUAUGAGAAUUUCCCAUCUAUAAAUAACAUUCACCCGCUCUGAACCAAAGUUUGAUCUUAGCAACAUUCAGAAAGAGUUAAAAUGUUGCUCUUAUUUCAUGCAGUUAUGCUGAUUUUCCACAGGCACUAAUAAGAUGCUACGAUCACAAUCUGUUUGUGUUCCCAUAUGGAAAAUAUAAACUAAUGUUGUGUAUUAAAUGGCAUGCUUACUGAAUUGCUAUGGUACUUAGCUAAGAAAAGUGAAAUCCAUUUUUAAAGGAACUAGUGCUCAUGUACUUGUAAAUAAUACUCAACACCUACUAUUAUUUAAAGUAUGCUAGCUGGAUUUUUUUUCCCUUUAAGCACUCCAGUAUUUGGUUGAUUCAUGCAAAAUCCUCCAUAAACUGUAGCUUUUCCUUCUUUUUAGAACACAGAAAACCAGCAGGAUUUUGAAUUAACUUUGUUCUUGUAUGGAUUGCUGAUAUAAAUUCCAGAUGUUUGAAAGCAGCAAAAAGCAUAAGAAUUUCAACUUAACCUCAUGCACCAAUCUCUUUGAUCACAAUUACUGCUACCAGAUAGAAGUACCUAAUCUGCAGUUUGCAGAAGUUAAAGCACAUUGAGGGCUGCAGGUAGGCCUGCAACACAGUCAGCCUUCCACUGCACACACCAGUGCUUUAUCACCAGAAACUUUUGUUUCCAUCAGUGCUAAGGACUCCUAAUGCAGACUGUUGAGGGAUGACAUCAAGUGUUUCUAUGGAAAAUACAAAUAGUCCAAUUUAGUUGCAUUUUUUUAUUAUUACUUAAUGAUCAGAGCAUAAGCUAGAAAGGGAAGUGACGUUUUUGGUGUAUUUCAAACAGAAAAGAGAAGUAUUUGGGGGCCUUUGGUAUGGGUUUGCCCUAUCUUGACUGAUGCAGCUUAAAAGCAAAGCAUUAUUGUAACGUUGAAACCAAAAGAUUCCAUUCAGAGCACCAGCAAUGUCUCAAGAGCCUUCGCCAUGGGCACAAAGAAUUCUUGCCAGAGAAUGCAUGUUAUUCAAAUGGAAAUGCUAAACUAUAUUAUCAACAGGUUGUAAUCUAAUAUCUAUUAAUUAUGCAUUGUUUUCGUUCACACCUACUACACUAUUUGUUCAUU